rnacentral:rRNA from 1 species
GAAGGUGAAGUAAGUCGAAGAUACCAGCUGGCUGCAACUGUUUAUUAAAAACACAGCACUCUGCAAACACGAAAGUGGACGUAUAGGGUGUGAUGCCUGCCCGGUGCUGGAAGGUUAAUUGAUGGUGUUAUCGAAAGAGAAGCUCCUGAUCGAAGCCCCAGUAAACGGCGGCCGUAACUAUAACGGUCCUAAGGUAGCGAAAUUCCUUGUCGGGUAAGUUCCGACCUGCACGAAUGGCAUAAUGAUGGCCAGGCUGUCUCCACCCGAGACUCAGUGAAAUUGAAAUCGCCGUGAAGAUGCGGUGUACCCGCGGCUAGACGGAAAGACCCCGUGAACCUUUACUAUAGCUUGACACUGAACAUUGAAUUUUGAUGUGUAGGAUAGGUGGGAGCCUUUGAAGCAGUGACGCCAGUCAUUGUGGAGGCGACCUUGAAAUACCACCCUUUAACGUUUGAUGUUCUAACGAAGUGCCUGAAACGGGUACUCGGACAGUGUCUGGUGGGUAGUUUGACUGGGGCGGUCUCCUCCCAAAGCGUAACGGAGGAGCACGAAGGUUUGCUAAUGACGGUCGGACAUCGUCAGGUUAGUGCAAUGGUAUAAGCAAGCUUAACUGCGAGACAGACAAGUCGAGCAGGUGCGAAAGCAGGUCAUAGUGAUCCGGUGGUUCUGAAUGGAAGGGCCAUCGCUCAACGGAUAAAAGGUACUCCGGGGAUAACAGGCUGAUACCGCCCAAGAGUUCAUAUCGACGGCGGUGUUUGGCACCUCGAUGUCGGCUCAUCACAUCCUGGGGCUGAAGUAGGUCCCAAGGGUAUGGCUGUUCGCCAUUUAAAGUGGUACGCGAGCUGGGUUUAGAACGUCGUGAGACAGUUCGGUCCCUAUCUGCCGUGGGCGUUGGAUGAUUGAUUGGGGCUGCUCCUAGUACGAGAGGACCGGAGUGGACGCAUCACUGGUGUUCCAGUUGUCUCGCCAGAGGCAUUGCUGGGUAGCUAAAUGCGGAAGAGAUAAGUGCUGAAAGCAUCUAAGCACGAAACUUGCCAAGAGAUGAGUCAUCCCUGACUUUAAGUCAGUAAGGGUUGUUGUAGACUACGACGUAGAUAGGUUGGGUGUGUAAGUGUAGUGAUACAUUGAGCUAACCAAUACUAAUUGCCCGAGAGGCUUAACUAU